rnacentral:rRNA from 1 species
UACGUAGGGCGCAAGCGUUGUCCGGAAUUAUUGGGCGUAAAGAGCUCGUAGGCGGCUUGUCACGUCGGGUGUGAAAGCCCGGGGCUUAACCCCGGGUCUGCAUUCGAUACGGGCAGACUAGAGUUCGGUAGGGGAGUCUGGAAUUCCUGGUGUAGCGGUGAAAUGCGCAGAUAUCAGGAGGAACACCGGUGGCGAAGGCGGGACUCUGGGCCGAUACUGACGCUGAGGAGCGAAAGCGUGGGGAGCAAACAGG